rnacentral:snRNA from 1 species
GGAUGUGAGGGCAAUCUGCAAGAUCCGUGACUUCGUUGAUCACUGGGGAUCAUUCAGCUGAUCUCACUGGCUAGGCAGGUGUUCCCUGCCUCCCCUACCACUCCAUGUCAUGAAGUUGCAAAAGGACAACCUUCCCCAGUAGAAGCAUACCAGUCAUCAAUCCC